GUGAGUAAUACUUAGGAAUCUGCCUAUUAGUGGGGGACAACAUCUCGAAAGGGAUGCUAAUACCGCAUACGUCCUACGGGAGAAAGCAGGGGAUCUUUAUGACCUUGCGCUAAUAGAUGAGCCUAAGUCGGAUUAGCUAGUUGGUGGGGUAAAGGCCUACCAAGGCGACGAUCUGUAGCGGGUCUGAGAGGAUGAUCCGCCACACUGGGACUGAAACACGGCCCAAACUCCUACGGGAGGCAGCAGUGGGGAAUAUUGGACAAUGGGGGGAACCCUGAUCCAGCCAUGCCGCGUGUGUGAAGAAGGCCUUAUGGUUGUAAAGCACUUUAAGCGAGGAGGAGGCUUACCUGGUUAAUACCCAGGAUAAGUGGACGUUACUCGCAGAAUAAGCACCGGCUAACUCUGUGCCAGCAGCCGCGGUAAUACAGAGGGUGCAAGCGUUAAUCGGAUUUACUGGGCGUAAAGCGCGCGUAGGCGGCCAAUUAAGUCAAAUGUGAAAUCCCCGAGCUUAACUUGGGAAUUGCAUUCGAUACUGUUUGGGCUAGAGUGUGGGAGAGGAUGGUAGAAUUCCAGGUGUAGCGGUGAAAUGCGUAGAGAUCUGGAGGAAUACCGAUGGCGAAGGCAGCCAUCUGGCCUAACACUGACGCUGAGGUGCGAAAGCAUGGGGAGCAAACAGGAUUAGAUACCCUGGUAGUCCAUGCCGUAAACGAUGUCUAYUAGCCGUUGGGGCCUUUGAGGCUUUAGUGGCGCAGCUAACGCGAUAAGUAGACCGCCUGGGAGAGUACGGUCGCAAGACUAAAACUCAAAUGAAUUGACGGGGGCCCGCACAAGCGGUGGAGCAUGUGGUUUAAUUCGAUGCAACGCGAAGAACCUUACCUGGCCUUGACAUAGUAGAAACUUUCCAGAGAUGGAUUGGUGCCUUCGGGAAUCUACAUACAGGUGCUGCAUGGCUGUCGUCAGCUCGUGUCGUGAGAUGUUGGGUUAAGUCCCGCAACGAGCGCAACCCUUUUCCUUACUUGCCAGCAUUUCGGAUGGGAACUUUAAGGAUACUGCCAGUGACAAACUGGAGGAAGGCGGGGACGACGUCAAGUCAUCAUGGCCCUUACGGCCAGGGCUACACACGUGCUACAAUGGUCGGUACAAAGGGUUGCUACCUAGCGAUAGGAUGCUAAUCUCAAAAAGCCGAUCGUAGUCCGGAUUGGAGUCUGCAACUCGACUCCAUGAAGUCGGAAUCGCUAGUAAUCGCGGAUCAGAAUGCCGCGGUGAAUACGUUCCCGGGCCUUGUACACACCGCCCGUCACAC
rnacentral:rRNA from 1 species